AAUCAACGCUGGCGGCGCGCUUAACACAUGCAAGUCGCACGAGAAAGGGAGCAAUCCUGAGUAAAGUGGCGUACGGGUGAGUAACACGUGGGAAUCUACCUCUUGGCGGGGAAUAACCCUGGGAAACCGGGGCUAAUACCGCAUAAGCUCGUGAGAGGAAAGCAGCAAUGCACCGAGAGAGGAGCCCGCGGCCGAUUAGCUAGUUGGUGGGGUAAUGGCUCACCAAGGCGAAGAUCGGUAGCCGGCCUGAGAGGGCACACGGCCACACUGGCACUGAAACACGGGCCAGACUCCUACGGGAGGCAGCAGUGGGGAAUCUUGCACAAUGGGGGAAACCCUGACGCAGCGACGCCGCGUGAGCGAUGAAGCCCUUCGGGGUGUAAAGCUCUUUCGACAGGAACGAUAAUGACGGUACCUGGAGAAGAAGCUGCGGCUAACUACGUG
rnacentral:rRNA from 1 species